GGGGUGUGCUCAGAGCAGGGUGACUGAAGAAUGGCUCCUCUGUUUACAACACACCCAACAGGAACUUGGGUUUACUCCUCACAGGUGGCAAGAUACUUUGGCUUUCCUGUGACAUCGUACCCUAUACAU
ensembl:snoRNA small nucleolar RNA, H/ACA box 11G